UACGUAGGGUGCAAGCGUUGUCCGGAGUUAUUGGGCGUAAAGAGCUCGUAGGCGGUCUGUCGCGUCGGCUGUGAAAACCCGGAGCUCAACUCCGGGCCUGCAGUCGAUACGGGCAGACUGGAGUGCGGCAGGGGAGACUGGAAUUCCUGGUGUAGCGGUGAAAUGCGCAGAUAUCAGGAGGAACACCGGUGGCGAAGGCGGGUCUCUGGGCCGAUACUGACGCUGAGGAGCGAAAGCGUGGGGAGCGAACAGG
rnacentral:rRNA from 1 species